rnacentral:lncRNA from 10 species
GGAAGCAGUGACUAUGAUGAUGAUAGGAGAGCUGGCGCCCUCACGCGCUUGUCACCUGCUGCGGGCAUCAGUGAGCGCUUGCUGCCGCCUCUGAGAUAAGGAGGGCUCUGUAGAAACUCACCUGGGCCACCUCCACUCGGAAGCCCUCCUUUCUUUCCUGCUAGACAAGAAGCGCCUGGAGCAGCCGAGGGAACACACCUGGUGGCAACGCCUGGUUCCCACUUUCGAACCUCAGGAUUGAGAGAGGGAUGAACGCGGGAAGUCUGAGGACACACUCUGUCCUGCCCUUAACUGUGACUGUCCGAGCCACCUAGGGGGACACGUGGGAGGCAGUCCCAGGGAGGCUGUACUAGAGAGGUGCUGCCCCCAACAGAAGCCGGGAGUCCCUGCCUGGGCCCAAGCUCCUGCCAUUCUCUAAGUGAUGCAGAGAGGGCCCCACCGCCGGGAGGGGCUUUCUGGCACAGCUGUUCUCGCCCCUGCACUCUGAAGAAGAGUAGAUACCUAGAUACAAUCUCGCCCUUGGACCUCAGGCUUGCAUACUCUACUGUCCACUCAACACCUGCGACUGAAUGUGUAAUCUGCGUCUCAAAACCAGCCUGCCCCAAAUUGCCCGCUCCACCCCCAGCCACCUGCUCCUCCCCAUGCAAACUCGUCUCUGCUGAUGCAACGCCAUCCUUCCAGUUGCCCUGACCAAAAUCUCCAUCUUCCAAACCCCUGUCUUUCCCUUACAUCCCACAUCUGCUGUAAAAGCAACUCCUGCUGACUCACCCUUCAAAAAUCUAGCCAGAAUCCAACCGUUUCUCACCACCCCGCCACCAUCAGCCUUGUUCUCCCACCCUGGGCAACGGCAGCAGCCUCCUUCCUGGUCUCACCUGGUCUCCCUGCCUCCACCCUUCCACUCAAGUUUCAACUCAGCAGCUAGAAUGCUUGGUGAAAACAUAAAUCUGAGCAUGUCUCUUUCUCUGCCCUGUCACUCAGCAUAAAGGCCCAAGUUAUUAUAGUGGCCAACAGCCUGGGCCCCUUUCCUCCUCUGGCCUCCUCUUCAACCACCUCCCCCUGCUCCCCGGGGUUCCUCUUCCUCCUCCCAGUUUUUCCCUGACAUGCCCUGCCCUCAGAUGCCCACACGGCUCGCCCCUCACUUGUUUCAUUUUUCACUCAAAUGCCACUUCCCUGCAAGGCCUCAGCUGUCCCCCAUUUAGAGUUCUGCACCCCCUUUUCCCCACUCAUUUGUCUUCCAUGGCACUACUGCCAUGAGCACAUGAUGUACUUUGUUUGAUUUCUUUGUUUGAUUUCUUCUCCGUACCAGGGAUUUUUGUCUGUUUUCUUUGUUCCUGUAUCCCCCAGCACCUGGAACAAUGCUUGCCGUAUAGUAGGUGCCUAGUAAAUAUUUAUUCAAUCAAUCCAGCAAGCAGCAUAAGAAUCUCUGCAAUGGACAGCCCCAGAAGGUUGUGAAUCCUCCACUCCCACAGAGAUCAGAUGGUAGGAAGGAGAUCCACUUACUCAUUGCACAAGGACUCCUGGCUGCCUAGCAGGUGCCAGGCACUGUUCUAGGCACCAGGGAUACACCACGAACAAAUAGGACUAAACAAAGCAAAACAGAAGAAACCCUGCACAGGAGCUUACCUGACA